rnacentral:rRNA from 1 species
CACACCGCCCGUCACACCAUGGGAGUGGGUUGUACCAGAAGUGAGUAGACUAACGCAAGAGGUCGCUCACCACGGUAUGGUUCAUGACUGGGGUG